rnacentral:rRNA from 1 species
AGUUGAUCAUGGCUCAGAUUGAACGCUGGCGGCAGGCCUAAUACAUGCAAGUCGAACGGUAACAUAGGAAAAGCUUGCUUUCCUGAUGACGAGUGGCGGACAGGUGAGUAAAGUUGGGAAGCUACCUGAUAGAGGGGGACAACAGUUGGAAACGACUGCUAAUACCGCAUACAGCCUGAGGGUGAAAGCAGCAAUGCGCUAUCAGAUGCGCCCAAAUGGGAUUAGCUAGUAGGUGAGGUAAAGGCUCACCUAGGCGACGAUCUCUAGCUGGUCUGAGAGGAUGAUCAGCCACAUUGGGACUGAGACACGGCCCAGACUCCUACGGGAGGCAGCAGUAGGGAAUAUUGCACAAUGGAGGAAACUCUGAUGCAGCCAUGCCGCGUGUGUGAAGAAGGCCUUCGGGUUGUAAAGCACUUUCGGAGGGGAGGAGAAUGACGUUACCCUCAGAAGAAGCACCGGCUAACUCCGUGCCAGCAGCGGC